AUGAGACCUGGAAAGGAGACCAUGUGUGUCCAUGACGGCCUCCUCCCCGCCCCGCCUCCCUUGCCAUUGAGAGAUUCCAAUCGCUAAGUUCAGAAUGAGCCUUUCAACCAUAGAGACUGAAAGACUGAGACUGCAUUUGUUUCAGAAAGUGAUUGAUGCAGAGGUGUGAUGAUAUAUUUUCAGUGUGUCUGUCAAGAAGGUGGUGUUGAAAUAUCUGUGACAAUAUUGGUGAGGAGUCAGUCUCUUGCUAUUUCACAAUGGCCUUAAUUCUAGUGAUGGCAAUUUCUUCUUGCAACAAAGAAAGACAGUGACACCAAAGGAGAAAUAAUCAAAGUGGGAUGAAAGGGAUUGACAUUCGAAAAGACUUCAUGGUGAUUGGGAUAAAAUGGAAAAAGAUUUUGAAAGCGCUCAAUCACAGGGCACUCUACAAUCACGAGCUUCAUACCUUACACAGUUUCCUUUCCUGUCAUACUGACUGUGCUUCUUCAACGUCUGCUGCGAACCAGAAGAAAGAGCAAGGUUUCCAAACACCAACAGGUGAAUUCAAGCAACCCACAUCUAGAUGGAGCACCACUCAAUACUACUCAAAAGCCAGGAGAGAAGAGCAAAGCAAGAAAAGUCCGUUUUGUUUGGAAACACCCACCUUCCGGAGCCAUUUGUUUCCUGGGAGGAGAAAAGACACCACCAUUCUGAAUAAAACCAGCUUUUUUCUUGGUCAUCCGGUUCACAGAUCUGAGGAGCAGGGGCGUGCACACAACGUUUUUCAUUAGCUAUUUGGAUGUCGUUACCACAUCUUAUCAAUGCGAAUUAAUACUGGCACCACAGUGUCACAUCGACCUU